AAGUUUGAUCAUGGCUCAGAACGAACGCUGGCGGCAUGCCUAACACAUGCAAGUCGAACGAAGCCUUCGGGCUUAGUGGCGCACGGGUGCGUAACACGUGGGAAUCUGCCCUUUGGUUCGGAAUAACAGUUAGAAAUGACUGCUAAUACCGGAUAAUGACGUAAGUCCAAAGAUUUAUCGCCGAAGGAUGAGCCCGCGUAGGAUUAGGUAGUUGGUGGGGUAAUGGCCCACCAAGCCGACGAUCCUUAGCUGGUCUGAGAGGAUGAUCAGCCACACUGGGACUGAGACACGGCCCAGACUCCUACGGGAGGCAGCAGUGGGGAAUAUUGGACAAUGGGCGAAAGCCUGAUCCAGCAAUGCCGCGUGAGUGAUGAAGGCCUUAGGGUUGUAAAGCUCUUUUACCAGGGAUGAUAAUGACAGUACCUGGAGAAUAAGCUCCGGCUAACUCCGUG
rnacentral:rRNA from 1 species